ensembl:snRNA Gm23002 predicted gene, 23002
GUGCUCACUUUGGCAGCACAUAUACUAAAAUUGGAAUGAUACAGAGAAGAUUAGCAUGGCCCAUGCGCAAGGAUGACAUGAAAAUUCAUGAAGCAGUCCAUAUUUUU